CUCUAGCUCACCGCUUUUAGCAUACCCAUUAACCGUACUCGUCCAAGAGAACACAUCUCUAACUCCCAUGGUAUCAAAGAUCCCUCCUGCAGAAUCCAAGCAGCCACAUUUCACAUACAUGAUGAUUUACAUUUCUAGUUUUACAUAUUCGUGAAAACUCUUCCCUAAUCUCAAACCCCCCUUCCGCGAGCAAGCUGAACGAGCCGCUAUCAUAGUGACCUCUUCUGGCUCUACAUUGCCCUCCACUCAAAAAGCUUCCAGGUCUCAUCACAACAGUUUCGCUUAGAAUACCCAUCAGUCGUAGACAGAAAGUCCAUCUCUAGCAGGAAUUCCAUCAAACAAGUGUCAAGCAAAAGCCAAACAACCACGCAGAUCAUAAAAACGAGCCAACCCAUCUUGAAACAACAUAGCAGAAACAAAACCCAUCUUUCCAAUACCACAAUGAACUGAUUUCCCUCCAAAAACUCUCAAAAACUGCUCGCCGCACGCUUUGGCUCCUGCAGUCCAUUUCAGCGCCAUUCUGAAGCAUUUGGCAGAAAAACAAGAAGCCACUAUGGCCCAUUUUGGCUUCAGAGUAGCCUCUAAUCAUGGUAUUCCAAAUAUAAGCACCGGGGUUUUGUAUCUGCGAAAACAGAAGACGAGCAUGAUUUAUAUCUGCAGUGUGAGAGAGGGGCAAACGCCAAGGCAAGACUAACAUGGAAAGAAAGCUUGGGGGUAGAUUAGCCAGACUAUAAAGGAGAAGGACUUAUUUGUACUUGUUCCAAGAUUGUGAGUCAAAAUAAUACCGCUUCUUUUCCUUCAAACGCAAUCUCGUCCUACGUUCCAGGGAAUCUUUUUACCUAAUCUCUUAAUAUAUAUAUAUGAAUGGCAUCUUGGCUUAAGCUCCUUCAAUUAUUGCUUUCGAAUUUUCUCAUGGAAUUGCUCUUUGUUUUUGAGGAUCCAAUUAAUAAGAAAAUCAUGGAGACUUGGCUGUUGACCUCAACACUCUCGUCUGCUUUGACUUCUUUAAUAUCCUCGAUGUGAACCAGGCUUGGAAUAUUGGGUGUUCUUGUUUUUGAUACAUGUAAAGAGGUUUGGGGCAAUUUUGAUGCCUUUUGUGAAUCCCUCCAUCUGGGCUUAUCAAAAGAGGAGGGGGAAAGAACGAGCUUGUUGAUUUAUAAUAAAUAAAAACUAGCUAGCUACUGUAUUCACGGUAGAAAGACAUCGAGCGAGAGAUUUCGGAAAUCUUGUUCAUUUGAUCGAUUUCGCAUGGCGUUAUUUAAAUCUUGAUGGGUUAUUUGUAGAUAGAACAAGAGAAACGCAGGCUUAUGACUACGCUUCUUCAAAGACUACAUGAGGCGGGAGGUACGCUCGUAUUGCCUCUCGUGCACCUCGUUCGUUCUAACUUGCGAAAACCGAACACUUGCUGAAGAUCUUGCAUGCUUGUCUAAGUGUUUAGUGAGCUAGAGCAUUUUGGGCAACAUGGGCAAUGGCCACGGACCCCAUUUAAUAAAAAAACUACAAGAAUAAAUAAGGCAUGUGCUCUACGUCCGCCCAAAGUUUCAUCAAUCCGCAGAGAGGGGGAGGGAUACAUCCUGCAUCAUCUUGAGAUUUCUGCGCGGCUUUUGUUCGGAUAAGCAACAAGGUGCACGAUAUUGUUGAAGGGCAAAUCCUUCCAUGCCUGUCCAAAAUUUGAAGUCAUUUUCAAUUCAAGGUCCACAACAAAUUUUUUAUAAUAUAAUAAUGCUAGAAUUACGCUCGAUCUCUGCAGCAUGCAUCGAGUAAUCGAUUUUGGAUUUCGAGUUCCACUGA